AAAAAAUCCGUAUUUUCAUGCCAGUACCGAAGUACUGGCUACUGGGGUGGUGAUACCCUCGGGGACUAAUAGUCCACCAGCAGAGGCAUCGACCCAGUGGUAGUAAUAAAAUUAACGGUACUAAUUUUCUUGCACCAGAUGCGCAUUUCGACAAUACAUGUCUCUUCAGUGAUGCUCGUGGCCAAAAUAUUUAAAAUCCAAAGCUUAUAUAAAAGAUGAAGAGCUAUAAUCCAAAAGGUCCAAAAAAGUAUAGCCAAAUCCGUGAAAGGAAUCAGAGCUUUGCAUGAGGGAGAUACAUUCCUUAAUUUAUAAUAAUUUCUAUCAUUUUGUAACAG
rnacentral:lncRNA from 1 species